rnacentral:rRNA from 2 species
CCUGGGGAGUACGGCCGCAAGGUUAAAACUCAAAUGAAUUGACGGGGGCCCGCACAAGCGGUGGAGCAUGUGGUUUAAUUCGAUGCAACGCGAAGAACCUUACCUGGUCUUGACAUCCACAGAACUUUCCAGAGAUGGAUUGGUGCCUUCGGGAACUGUGAGACAGGUGCUGCAUGGCUGUCGUCAGCUCGUGUUGUGAAAUGUUGGGUUAAGUCCCGCAACGAGCGCAACCCUUAUCCUUUGUUGCCAGCGGUCCGGCCGGGAACUCAAAGGAGACUGCCAGUGAUAAACUGGAGGAAGGUGGGGAUGACGUCAAGUCAUCAUGGCCCUUACGACCAGGGCUACACACGUGCUACAAUGGCAUAUACAAAGAGAAGCGACCUCGCGAGAGCAAGCGGACCUCAUAAAGUAUGUCGUAGUCCGGAUUGGAGUCUGCAACUCGACUCCAUGAAGUCGGAAUCGCUAGUAAUCGUAGAUCAGAAUGCUACGGUGAAUACGUUCCCGGGCCUUGUACACACCGCCCGUCACACCAUGGGAGUGGGUUGCAAAAGAAGUAGGUAGCUUAACCUUCGGGAGGGCGCUUACCACUUUGUGAUUCAUGACUGGGGUGAAGUCGUAACAAGGUAACCGUAGGGGAACCUGCGGUUGGAUCACCUCCUUA